AGGAGGGCAAGGUGCGAAGCUUUUAACAGAGUAUUCCUGUAGCAAAUCCCUUGGAAUACUUGAAAGGAUUUCAGCCUGCAUGCGGGCUAUAGGUGCUUGCGGCUGUAAAUGUUUCGGCAUGUGCUGAAAGCACUGUAAAAGGAGCGAUCAAGGGCCAUCAAUUCACAGAAAUUCCUUGUGCAAACAGUGAUUCUAAGGUUCAAAAGAAUUCCGUAUAUUUUAGUGAAAGGGAGUUUUGUAGAAAUUGUGAAAUAAGGGAAACAAAUUGCAGGUGGUAGUUUGGAGAAGAGAGAAAGGAAGAAGAGAAGGAAAGAAUAAAGGAAAGAAAGGAAGAUAAAGGAUUAUUCAUAGAUUUAUGCAGAAAGAAAGCUUUGGGUUUGUGUAUCAAAGGAGGAGACUUCGUGGUGUAGGUUUUGAAGAGAUCAACAAUCAAAGAGGUGGGCAAAAGGGACCCAAAUUACUAAGCCUGUUUUGUAGAGGGGGGCAAAGGGGACCCCAAAAGAAAAAGAGAUCUGCAUAGCAGGCGGGGCAAAAGGGACCCCAAUGAGGCAAAAGGGACCUCAAGGUAAUUCAAUGGCGAUAAUGCCAGGGUAACCUGGGCUCCAUUGAAUAUUGUUAUGUAUUUAUAGCCAAGUCUUUUACAUAUUUAAUUUUUGAUAUUCAAUAUAACUUCGAAGAGAUAAUUAAAAAUACUAAUUAGGAUUUAUGAUGUUGUUAUCAUUAAAAUGUGAGUUUAAUGCUUUAUGACUUCAACAUUUUAAUUUAUUCUCUUCAUGUAUUAUAACUGUUAUUUAAAUUACAUAAUUUACGGGGCCUCAUAGCUUAUCAGUUAUCUUUUACUGGCUGU